CCUACGGGCGGCAGCAGUGAGGAAUAUUGGUCAAUGGCCGGAAGGCUGAACCAGCCAUGCCGCGUGAAGGUCAGUGCCCUAUGGGCGUUAAACUUCUUUUGUGCGGGAGCAAUAAUGGUCACGUGUGGCCAGACGAGAGUACCGUACGAAUAAGCAUCGGCUCACUCCGUGCCAGCAGCCGCGGGAAUACGGGGGAGGCAAGCGUUAUCCGGAUUUAUUGGGUUUAAAGGGUGCGUAGGCUGUGAGGUAAGUCAGCGGUGAAAUGCCCCCGCUCAACGGGGUGAAGUGCCAUUGAUACUGCCUUGCUGGAAUGCGGAUGCCGGGGGAGGAAUGUGUGGUGGAGCGGGGAAAUGCAGAGAUAUCACACAGAACACCGAUUGCGAAGGCAUCUCACGAAUCCGCGAUUGACGCUGAUGCACGAAAGCGUGGGUAUCAAACAGGAUUAGAUACCCGAGUAGUC
rnacentral:rRNA from 1 species